rnacentral:rRNA from 1 species
CGCAGGCGGUUUCUUAAGUCUGAUGUGAAAGCCCCCGGCUCAACCGGGGAGGUGCAUUGGAAACUGGGAAACUUGAGUGCAGAAGAGGAUAGUGGAAUUCCACGUGUAGCGGUGAAAUGCGUAGAGAUGUGGAGGAACACCAGUGGCGAAGGCGACUCUCUGGUCUGUAACUGACGCUGAGGAGCGAAAGCGUGGGGAGCGAACAGGAUUAGAUACCCUGGUAGUCCACGCCGUAAACGAUGACUGCUAAGUGUUAGGGGGUUUCCGCCCCUUAUGGCUGCAGCUAACGCAUUAAUCACUCCGCCGGGGGAGUACGGUCGCAAGACUGAAACUCAAAGGAUUUGACGGGGGCCCGCACAAGCGGUGGAGCAUGUGGUUUAUUUCAAAGCAACGCGAAGAACCUUACCGGGUCUUGACAUCCUCUGA